UGAUACAUAGAAUAGCUUCGCGUAGAACUCGUGCCGCAGUCAAUACAGAGCAUUGACGCCAAGUCUAAAACACCCGUCGGAACCAUUGUAUAAACAAUUCAAUAUGUCGACUGGAAUGACAUUCUCCGACGAGGCCAAGGCAGUGAACGAGGCGCGAAAAACGGACAAGAAGUACCGCUACGUCAUCUACAAGGUAGUCGGAGAGAGUGUAAUCGACGCAGAGGCAACGGGAGAGCGUUCAGCCCCGCUCGAGAACUUCUUGGAGAGUUGCGACCGAGAGAAGCGGGCCAGUGCCGGUGCGCCGUGUACGACUACCCUGUCACAGAGAUGACGGAACUACCACGGACAAGACAUUCCUUAUCACAUGGCUUCCUAACGGAGCCAACACGAGGCAACGGAUGCUGUACUUAAGCGCAUAUGAGACACUCCGACAGCAAGUCACUGGGAUCGAUAAGUUUCUCGAGGCGGGCAGCGUCGAAGAGCUCGAGGAUUCGAUGAAAGGUGCCGUGUGGCAGUGAAAAUAUGAUGUAUUGCAGACAGGCGAAUAAAUGGUAACGAAAAAA